rnacentral:rRNA from 1 species
CUGCCCUUCACUCUGGGACAAGCCCUGGAAACGGGGUCUAAUACCGGAUAACACUCUGUCCCGCAUGGGACGGGGUUAAAAGCUCCGGCGGUGAAGGAUGAGCCCGCGGCCUAUCAGCUUGUUGGUGGGGUGAUGGCCUACCAAGGCGACGACGGGUAGCCGGCCUGAGAGGGCGACCGGCCACACUGGGACUGAGACACGGCCCAGACUCCUACGGGAGGCAGCAGUGGGGAAUAUUGCACAAUGGGCGAAAGCCUGAUGCAGCGACGCCGCGUGAGGGAUGACGGCCUUCGGGUUGUAAACCUCUUUCAGCAGGGAAGAAGCGAAAGUGACGGUACCUGCAGAAGAAGCGCCGGCUAACUACGUGCCAGCAGCCGCGGUAAUACGUAGGGCGCAAGCGUUGUCCGGAAUUAUUGGGCGUAAAGAGCUCGUAGGCGGCUUGUCACGUCGGAUGU